rnacentral:lncRNA from 1 species
GAGAAUGUAGAAAAUGCUGCUAAAACUGAGGAUAUGUCCCAGGACCAGGACCAGGACGGGACCAGCUCGGGGAGCGGGUCCAAUGUUCCCAACUGGCUGGAUUUAAAAUCUCUCUUUAAAAAAGAGACCAAGUUUGGGCUGCUGCAGCUAAUCCCGAUGAUCCACAAGGCAAAAUGAACAUGAAAGCCAGACACACGGAGAUCUUUUCUCCAAACGGGAUUAUUUUCAAGGUUAUUUAUGAGCUCGACGAUAGCGCCGAUUCCUGGUCACCGUUAGCCGACAAGCUAGCUCCCUCUGAGCAGCCCCGAGGGUUAAAUGUACAGACAAAUGAUGCAUAAGAAGGUAAAAACGUAUGUUUGUGACGACUAAGAUGAGCCGUUCAUUAACAAAGAGAGGCGGCUAACCUGGAUGCUAUUUCUGCUCUUUUUUCGAGUAAGCGACGCUUUGGCGCUCGUGAAUCCGCUGCUACGGCCCAAAUUCCGCCCUGACGCGGCGAGAAGUUCCGCUAAUAAGUUUAAAAUCUGCUACAGAUCCUGUUUCUCAGCGCGGGCGGCAGGAGAAGAUAAGCAGAACCAGUAUCAGAACAACUUAAGCGAGCAACAACAGUCGGUCCAAUCAGCUGAUUACAGCUUCCGGUUGGAGACGCAUGUUCCUGUUGACUUCAUGACGUCACAGUCAGCUGCCUGGAUGGUGACCAGGUCAGGGGUAGAAGUCAACUGGUGUCCUCCCUCCUGCCACCCACCCAAAGCUGGGGAGAUGGAGAAGGAGGGAAAGCUGGACUCACUCCACUGGUCACACUGGUCAUCGUCUAGAGCUCUCAGUGGUGACGACAGAGCACCGCAGACCCUCCAUCACCCUGUGGAUCAGCCGGGACAGGGUUCAGCAUAUUGAUCGGUUGCUUCUGGAUCCCUUGAUGACGGCCCGUUUAGGGUGUUGGAGGUGGGCUCAGUAUGGAUGGAAGUAUGGAGAGUAUCACUUUGGAGAGGCUCAAGCCUGUUUCAUCUGUUGCCAGGCAACGGCACCCAGAUCCAUUUGCUCAGAUGCUGAGACUAAGUGGACCCACUCCAAAAAGAGGAAAAUGAAGGUGCUCAGGUCCAUGUGGCACAUGAGCCUGAGAGGUGGUUGAAUGGUAAUAAAAUCAUCUUAAUAAUGCUCAUGAUAAUAAUAAUAAUUAAUUCCUGAUGGAAUUAAAAAGAAACACAGAUUUAAAAGGGGCAGAAUAU